GGAGAGGUACCGAAGUGGUUGUAACGGGACUGACUCGAAAUCAGUUUGGGGUUUUGUGCCUCACGUGGGUUCGAAUCCCACUCUCUCCGCCA
rnacentral:tRNA from 1 species